GAUGGCCACAAUACACAGAGUAUCACCAUACAACUGCAGAAGGCUUUAAGCAUUCACCCAUACAGGGUAACACCAUGCCUCAUCAGAAGGCUUCAGGCCAUCAGCCCAGUAAAAGGCUUCAAAAUGCAUGGAAGCAGGGAGCAAACUGGACCUUCAAAAAUGUUUGAUAGUCUCACAACACUACUGGCGCCCUUGUCUACAAGGUGGCCUGAACUCUUUCUGCGUACAAAAGCUAAAAUACUUUAGUAACUAAAAAGUGGGCUGACUAAAUAUAUAUAGUGUGAUAAUAUGAUCAUUGCCAUCAGGACAGAAGAAGGAGACAGAAACAACUAGACUCACACUGGGAGUUCCCCUGCCUGCACAGAGAAAGGGCUGUGGCAUUUACUGCGGCAUUUCCUGAACGUGCAUUUGUGCCUAUGUAAUACAUAGAAAACACAGAUAAACUUCUAGUAAAGAAGAGCAAUGGAAAGAAA